rnacentral:rRNA from 1 species
UACGUAGGGAGCAAGCGUUGUCCGGAAUUAUUGGGCGUAAAGAGCUCGUAGGCGGUCUGUCGCGUCGGCUGUGAAAACCCGGGGCUCAACCCCGGGCCUGCAGUCGAUACGGGCAGACUAGAGUGCGGUAGGGGAGACUGGAAUUCCUGGUGUAGCGGUGAAAUGCGCAGAUAUCAGGAGGAACACCGGUGGCGAAGGCGGGUCUCUGGGCCGUAACUGACGCUGAGGAGCGAAAGCGUGGGGAGCGAACAGG